UACGUAGGUGACAAGCGUUGUCCGGAUUUACUGGGCGUAAAGAGCGCGCAGGCGGUCGUUCAAGUCGAGUGUGAAAGCCCCCGGCUCAACUGGGGAGGGUCACUCGAUACUGAUCGACUCGAAGGCAGGAGAGGGAAGUGGAAUUCCCGGUGUAGUGGUGAAAUGCGUAGAUACCGGGAGGAACACCAGUGGCGAAGGCGACUUUCUGGCCUGUUCUUGACGCUGAGGCGCGAAAGCUAGGGGAGCAAACGGG
rnacentral:rRNA from 1 species